UAUUAAAAAUUUUAUAUAUUUGUACCGUUAAAAUUAGCAUUACUGAUGGAAUAACUAGACAAUGACAUGCGGCAUGCCACAUGCCACAUAUACCUCAUGUUGAUGUAUAAGGACUAGCUUUUAAUAGUAGAAAUAGGUUAAUUUUUAACA
rfam:Gossypium arboreum cultivar AKA8401 contig_4636_1, whole genome shotgun sequence.